rnacentral:rRNA from 1 species
GGCGACCGGGUGCGUAACACGUAGCUAACCUGCCCUGGAACGGGGGAUAACAAGCCGAAAGGCUUGCUAAUACCGCAUAAUCUUGCCGGAAGUGAAAGAAGGCAAGGAAACUUACGGGGUUCAAGGAGGGGGCUGCGGCCCAUCAGGUAGUUGGUGGAGUAACGGUUCACCAAGCCAAUGACGGGUAGGGGGCCUGAGAGGGUGACCCCCCACACUGGGACUGACAAACGGCCCAGACUCCUACGGGAGGCAGCAGUAAGGGAUAUUGGGCAAUGGGCGAAAGCCUGACCCAGCAACGCCGCGUUGAGGAUGACGGCCUUCGGGUUGUAAACUCAUUUUCUCACUGACGAGGAAGGACGGUAAGUGAGGAAGAAGUCACGGCUAACUACGUGCCAGCAGCCGCGG